CACGUAGGGGGCAAGCGUUGUCCGGAUUUAUUGGGCGUAAAGAGCUCGUAGGCGGUUCGUUAAGUUCGUUGUGAAAGCCCCGGGCUCAACCUGGGAACUGCAAUGGAAACUGGCGGGCUUGAGUGUGGCAGAGGGGGGUGGAAUUCCGCGUGUAGCAGUGAAAUGCGUAGAGAUGCGGAGGAACACCGAUGGCGAAGGCAGCCCCCUGGGCCAACACUGACGCUCAGGCACGAAAGCGUGGGGAGCAAACGGG
rnacentral:rRNA from 1 species